rnacentral:lncRNA from 1 species
ACAUACCAACAUGUGUUGUAUUUUUCUGAAUGUUAAACACAAGCAGUACUAAGAUUCAACAUGACUAACUGUUUGAUGCCAAAGUUAGUUGGAACUCAACUCACUGUACAUACUCUAACACAGAUAACUGGUGCUGUUGCCUUUCAGCCACUGGCAGGAAAAUUAUUCUUUACUUCAGAAAAUUGGAAAGCUGCUGGAGUAAUCUGGUGUUCAUGCUCAUUUGAUUCAUUUCGUGCCACUUAGUGAAAGCCGAAAGGCAUGUCGAAUUCAAUUGAGCCGUGCUGUCUCGAAGCAAGCAAUCCAGCCGUUGCGUUCAGUCAUUUGGAACAGGAAUCUAAUGGCUGUCAAAAGGUGGCUGACUGGCUGUGAAUAAUGUCCACCAGGUGCGCGAGUGUCUUCAGGGGCGAAUAGCGGCCAUUUUUCCCAAGACGCAGCAGAAAUGGGUUGUUGGUUGUGACGUUCCUCGCGAUGAAAAUUAAAAGGUGAUUCAGCACGUAGAAACCAAUUUGCCAAAUCAUUCAACUCAGACUUGGAAGUGCC